CGGGCUGAACUUAAGCAUAUCAGUAAGCCCAGGAAAAGAAAUUAACAAAGAUUGCCCCAGUAGAGGCGAUUGAACAGGCAAGAGCUCAAAUUGGUAAUCCUGCGCAAAAAGCGCCAGGAAUUGUAAUCUAGAGGAGUACUCCGAAGGCAUGAUAGAGGUAUAAAUUCCUUGGAACAGGAUGCCAAAGAGGGUGACAGCCCCGUAAGCGGCCUUUGAUCAGCUGUAGGAGUACUUUCAAAAAGUCGGGUUGUUUGGUAUUGCAGCCCCAAUUGGGAGAUAAACUUCUUCUAAAGCUAAAUAUUUAUGGGAAACCGAUAGCGAACAAGUACUACGAAGGAAAGAUGAAAAGAACUUUGAAAAGAGGGUUAAAAGACUUGAAAUCGUUGAGUCGGAAGUGGUAGAAGGGUUGUCAUUCGUCUACGAUUCAUUUGCGUACAUGUCUAGGCGCCGGCAUCCUCCCUGUACCUAACAAGGCAGAUGGUGCGGCCGUCAAUAGUCUUGUUGCAUCUUGUUCGUAGACGAUAGCCAGAAUGGAAUGCGGAGCGCAGGAAUAAAUGGUCACGAGACCCUUACUUGUGAGGAGCGUGGCUGACGAAACUGUGCUCGCGUUCGAGGGGCAUACGUGCGAUUCUGGAACGGCGUCUUCUACCGUCCCGUCUUGAAACACGGACCAAGGAGUGAAGAGCGUGUGCAAGUGAUAGUGUGGAGAAACACGAUCGCGCAGAGAAAUCGAGUUCAAGUAGCAAACUGCUACUGCCCACCUUGGGUCUCCGACUCAGGGCUGGAGCAAGAGCACACUUUCUUCGACCCGAAAGAUGAUGAACUACGCCUGAGUAGACUGAAGCCAGGAGAAAUUCUGGUGGAAGGUCGCAGAGCAACUGACGUGCAAAUCGUUCUUCAAACUUGGGUGUAGGUGCGAAAGACUAAUCGAAUCAUCUAGUAGCUGGUUCCCUCUGAAGUUUCUCUCAGGAUAGCUGGAACCGCGUUUGACACGCAGUUUUAUCAGGUAAAGCGAAUGAUUAGAAGUACCGGUGUGCCAAGCACAUUGACUUAUUCUCAAACUUUAAAUUGGUAAGAAUUGUGGAGUGGCUUACUUAAUUGAGCACCUCCAGCAGAAUGCACGGUUCUUAGUGGCCCAUCUUUGGUAAGCAGAACUGGGGAUGAGGGAUGCUCCUUUCGUCGAGAUAAAGUGCCAAAGUGAUCGCACAUCAGACACCACUAAAAGGCGUAAUUUCAUAAAGACAAUUGGAAUGUGUCCCUGGCAGUAGGAAUCAUCUUAGGAGUGUGUAACAACUCACCAAUCGAAUGAAAUUGCCCUGAAAAUUGAUGGCGCUCAGCGAUCCACUGAUACUCGACCAUCGCGGCAAAUGAGAUGCCGCGAUGAGUAAGAGGGCGUGCCCGUGUUGUGUGGAAGGCUAGCGCGUGAGCGUGGCCGGAACCGCGGGCAGCGCAGAUCUUGGUGGUAGUAGCAAAUAUUCAAAUGAGAACUUUGAAGACUGAUUUGGGGAAAGGUUCCACGAAAAUAGCAAUUAGUCAUGGGUCAAUCGGUCCUAAGCCUAAGGCGGCAGCCGAAAGCAAUCGCAUUUACAUGCGGGCUGGCAAAAGGGAAUGUGGUUAACAUUCCGCAAUUUGUCUCGGAUAUUACGCGGCAACGCUAACGAUCCCGCAGACAUCGGUAAAAGUCAUUGGAAGAGUUCUCUUUUCUUUUUAACUAGUUAUGGCCCUGAAAUUGAAUUAUUCAGAGAUAGGGCUGUAUACUAGGAAGAGCAUUUCACUAUACGAGAUGUCAAUGGCGCUUUUAACGAUCAUUGAAAAUGUGGGGGAGAAGGCAACAUAUUUCGAGACAAACCGUACUCAUAACCGCAUCAGGUCUCCAAGGUU
rnacentral:rRNA from 1 species